AUGUGCAUGAAGAACCAGGACAACAUAAUCUAUACAUCUCCGCAGAGUGUGCAUGAAGAACCAGGAAAACAUAUCUAUACAUCUCCACAGAGUGUGCAUGAAGAACCAGGAAAACAUCAUCUAUACAUCUCCACAGAGUGUGCAUGAAGAACCAGGAAAACAUAUCUAUACAUCUCCGCAGAGUGUGCAUGAAGAACCAGGAAAACAUAUCUAUACAUCUCCACAGAGUGUGCAUGAAGAACCAGGAAAACAUAAUCUAUACAUCUCCACAGAGUGUGCAUGAAGAACCAGGAAAACAUAUCUAUACAUCUCCACAGAGUGUGCAUGAAGAACCAGGAAAACAUAAUCUAUACAUCUCCACAGAGUGUGCAUGAAGAACCAGGAAAACAUAUCUAUACAUCUCCACAGAGUGUGCAUGAAGAACCAGGAAAACAUAUCUAUACAUCUCCACAGAGUGUGCAUAAAGAACCAGGAACACAUAUCUAUACAUCUCCACAGAGUGUGCAUGAAGAACCAGGAAAACAUAUCUAUACAUCUCCACAGAGUGUGCAUGAAGAACCAGGAAAACAUAUCUAUACAUCUCCACAGAGUGUGCAUGAAGACAGAAUCAAAACCAAAGAUUGAUCAGGAAGUUCAUAAUUCCCGCGAUUCCAUGGUAGAGCAUCUUUGGCACGGCAGGAUCAUUGACUACAGAAUACUCAGCUGUAUUGUGACACAACAGGACGCACUCCAACCUCUGAUUAAGAAUCGUGAACAAAUGGGUCAUUUUGUUAUGAACAAGCCAGAAGACAAUCAAAUAACUGGCCAAGUGGAAGUGGCUCAAGUGUUGGUACCAACUACAGAUGAACAUAUAGAUGAAGAGUCAGACGUCAACAUGGACGAUGACCAGUCGACGUUGUACCAACCAUAUUUUCCAGACCAUUGAACCAGUCAUGGGACACCACACUGAGAAAGGGGAUGCAAAGCUGUGGUUUGUACCAAAAGCCCCCUCUGGAUUGUGAUCUGAUGGCUGGAUUUGGGAAAUAUCUCCGUGACGACAACAACAUUCCCCAUUUCAAACAGGAGGUUUGUACAGAGAUUUUACUUUCAUUUAACUGUUUACAUAUUUUAAUGAGAAUUAAUAGAUUUUAAAGUAGUUAUUAACUAUGUAAUUAAUAUUAUUUUCAUGUUUCAUGCCGAGAGAGACAGAGAGGAUCUAUUACAUGAAUUUAUGUUUAUUUGUGAUGGCAGAGAGGGAUUUGGGUCACAGGUGUCACGCCUUGGUCUUAGUAUUUUGUGUUUUCUUUAAUUAUUUGUUCAGGCCAGGGUGUGACAUGGGGUUAUUGUAUUGUCGUAUUGGGGUUUUUGUAGGCAUUGGGAUUGUGGUUGAUUAGGGGUGUGUCUAGUAUAGGCUUGGCUGCCUGAGGCGGUUCUCAAUCAGAGUCAGGUGAUUCUUGUUGUCUCUGAUUGGGAACCGUAUUUAGGUAGCCUGGGUUUCACUGUGUAUUUCGUGGGUGAUUGUUCCUGUCUCUGUGUAGUUUCACCAGAUAGGCUGUAAUAAGUUUCGCGUUCCGUUUGUUGUUUUGUUUAUUCAGUUAUUUAAUGUAUCGUCAUUUCAUUCAUUAAAGACAU